rnacentral:lncRNA from 1 species
GGAUGAAGGUUAAGGAAAAAAAAGGUGCAUCAGCAUUGCAUCAUUACAGCUUUCCAGCUGCUAUUCCUUGGGUUGUUGCUGCUCUCUCAGGCAAGCAGCAACUCUUUGCUACUGAAAGAUAGCAGAUUGUCUAGAAACAGACCUUCUUAUGCCUGACGGCCUGUCAAGGAUACAGCAGUGUCACAAGAGAAAGAUGGAUGAUCUGGAUAAAGGUAUGCUGAAGCCAUACAGCUGAGAUUGUGA